rnacentral:rRNA from 1 species
AUUGAACGCUGGCGGCAUGCCUUACACAUGCAAGUCGAACGGCAGCAUGAUCUAGCUUGCUAGAUUGAUGGCGAGUGGCGAACGGGUGAGUAAUACAUCGGAACGUGCCCUGUAGUGGGGGAUAACUAGUCGAAAGAUUAGCUAAUACCGCAUACGACCUGAGGGUGAAAGUGGGGGACCGCAAGGCCUCAUGCUAUAGGAGCGGCCGAUGUCUGAUUAGCUAGUUGGUGAGGUAAAGGCUCACCAAGGCGACGAUCAGUAGCUGGUCUGAGAGGACGAUCAGCCACACUGGGACUGAGACACGGCCCAGACUCCUACGGGAGGCAGCAGUGGGGAAUUUUGGACAAUGGGCGAAAGCCUGAUCCAGCAAUGCCGCGUGUGUGAAGAAGGCCUUCGGGUUGUAAAGCACUUUUGUCCGGAAAGAAGUGGCUCUGGUUAAUACCUGGGGUCGAUGACGGUACCGGAAGAAUAAGGACCGGCUAACUACGUG